UACAGAGGGUGCAAGCGUUGUUCGGAAUUACUGGGCGUAAAGCGCGUGUAGGCGGCGGCGUAAGUCGGGUGUGAAAUCCCUCAGCUCAACUGAGGAAGUGCACUCGAUACUGUGUCGCUUGAAUGUCGGAGGGGAUGGCGGAAUUCCCGGUGUAGAGGUGAAAUUCGUAGAUAUCGGGAGGAACACCGGUGGCGAAGGCGGCGAUCUGGGUCGAUACUGACGCUGAGGUGCGAAAGCGUGGGGAGCAAACAGGG
rnacentral:rRNA from 1 species